rnacentral:lncRNA from 1 species
AUGACAAGCUGUGCGACUGAAGUGAUCGUUAUCCCAGUUCUCCUUGUGGGUGCUUUUAUCAUCCUGGUAAGUGUGAUCCUUUGGCUCCACUGUCGAGGCAUGAGAACAAAUCAGGAGGAAUCAUCACCAUCCGGACACCAAGGUAACAUCAUAGUUUUCAGAACAGAGGAAGGAGUGUUGGUUUCAGUGGCCACAAGUCAAUCCCAUUUCCCAUUGCUUGAGCUGUUAGACAGUAGAAUUUCUGAAGAGCCUAAGCGGUGGUAUUCAUCAGCCCAGUGAGCAUUAGGAAAAUUGGGAACCCUCUUUUACCCGACUUGCGGUAGAAAUAAUGGAAUCUGUAGUAUAAAUGGAUCUGAGGAAUCUAAACCAGUGUACCAUAUAUCCGUAGGAUGAUUAAUAUGCUAUAGUAAAAUCGCUUGAGAGCUUCAAAUUCUGUUUAUGUUACAGCCUUCAUGGGUGCUGCUGCAAGGAUAGUUUCACAAGGGUAAUUGUGCAUUAAUCUUUUUGAUGUAAAUCACAUCUAAUUAAUCCACUUUCUGCACUAUCAUUAAAGACAUUUUGUUUCAAGCGACUGUCUCUCACUUCCUGUGGGGACAACUGGAAACAGACAGAACAGGUACUGGGGAGGAGGAAGGGAAAAGGGCUGUCAUUACUGCAAAAACAUGCUGCCAUGGGGCAGCAAAUUCAGAUCUGAACUAUUUUUGUUUCUGCACAGGAAAAAGCAUAAUCAGUCUAUAUUAAGGGAAAUAAUUGAAAAAAAAUAUAAAGCCUUUGUGUGAACAUCCUGUGCAUGUCUCUUUUGUAACGACUUGUAGCUGGUGAGAAAUGAAAUGGUUGUUGCUUCACCACAUGGAAAUCAAGUACAGAGGUGUCUUACGCAGCAAGAACAUUGUCAUAGUUAAAUAUAGUAGAGGUCUCUGGACUCAUUUUAUCUUUUCAUCAAAUAGAAUGGGAGAUAAAGUCACCUUCACCUUUCAAGGGCUAGGAUAAGGAACAUACAACAUCUCCUCACCUCA